rnacentral:rRNA from 1 species
UACGGAGGGUGCAAGCGUUAUCCGGAAUCAUUGGGUUUAAAGGGUCCGCAGGCGGAUUUAUAAGUCAGUGGUGAAAGCCCGAUGCUUAACAUCAGAACUGCCAUUGAUACUGUAAGUCUUGAAUUCGAUCGAAGUGGGCGGAAUAUGACAUGUAGCGGUGAAAUGCUUAGAUAUGUCAUAGAACACCUAUAGCGAAGGCAGCUUACUGGGCUGUAACUGACGCUGAGGCACGAAAGUGUGGGGAUCAAACAGG